rnacentral:rRNA from 1 species
GUGAGUCAUCGAGUCUUUGAACGCACAUUGCGCCCUUUGGUAUUCCGAAGGGCAUGCCUGUUCGAGCGUCAUUAUCCCCCCUCAAACCUCGGGUUUGGUGUUGGACCAAGUCCCCACGAACGACCACACCGGUCGCGCACGGGACCGGUCUCAAAGACAAUGACGGCGUCCGCGGGACCCCCGGUACAAUGAGCUUUCUGUGUUUUUGCACGGGUCGAGCACGUACCGACGGUGUCGCGUGGACCCCGGUCGACCACCUUUAUUUUAUCAGGUUGACCUCGGAUCAGGUAGGAAUACCCGCUGAACUUAA